rnacentral:lncRNA from 1 species
GUAUCCUUUAGAGACCAGACAAGGGUAGGUAGCCAAACAACCCAGAGAAGAGAUUGGCAUUAGAGUUAGCAGAGGAUGAAGAAAGAGACCCAGGGCUUGGGCAGUGGGGCCUUAGAGCUCAGCCUGCUUCUGAGAAGCUUUUCCAUGUAGAAACUGGGGUUUAAAUCUCAGACAUGCUGGGAUUUCACCCCAUUUACUUCCUGCUGUUCUGGUGAAUUGGGUACUGUGGGUCACUUGCUCUGAUCAAAGACCUUUUCCAUCUUUCUCUGAACAUUGAAGACCUGUUCCAACCAAGCCUAAGGAGACUAAAGUCAUGGACUCUUCCUUCCUCAAAUAAAGCCACUUCUUUCAUACACUUGCAGAGACCUGGAGUGCAGACUCCAGACCUUUGUUACAGAUGGCUCUUCUUCAUGUUUUCACUAUAACAUCUGCAGAAGAACUUAGGGA